rnacentral:rRNA from 1 species
GACGAACGCUGGCGGCGUGCUUAACACAUGCAAGUCGAGCGGUAAGGCCCUUUCGGGGGUACACGAGCGGCGAACGGGUGAGUAACACGUGGGUGACCUGCCCUCCACUCUGGGAUAAGCCUGGGAAACUGGGUCUAAUACCGGAUAGGACCAUUGAUCGCAUGGUUGGUGGUGGAAAGUUUUUUCGGUGGGGGAUGGGCCCGCGGCCUAUCAGCUUGUUGGUGGGGUGAUGGCCUACCAAGGCGGUGACGGGUAGCCGGCCUGAGAGGGCGACCGGCCACACUGGGACUGAGACACGGCCCAGACUCCUACGGGGGGCAGCAGUGGGGAAUAUUGCGCAAUGGGCGGAAGCCUGACGCAGCGACGCCGCGUGGGGGAUGACGGCCUUCGGGUUGUAAACCUCUUUCGCCAGGGACGAAGAGUGAUUGACGGUACCUGGAGAAGAAGCACCGGCCAACUACGUGCCAGCAGCCGCGGUAACAC